AUGCUCAUCAAAAUUAUGCCGUUAGGUGGCAGUACCAACGAUGUUUCGUCCAGCAUUAAAUUACUGCAGAAGAAGAAUACCGCCAACGUGACGCGGAUAUUAUAUCUUAAUGGAGGAAUAAACCUGAAACAGCACUUCCAAGAACUUCUUGAUUGUUGUUUAUGGAUUCCUCAUGAAAUUUGGGAUUGUCGGUUUGGAUGGACCAGGAGUUGGUGUCACUGGAAAAACUCUCAUGGUGGCUGAUGACUGAGGAUUGGCCAUAGAUGUGCCUUGCUGCUUUUCGAAAAGGGUAAUUAAUCUUUAUUAAAUGAUGUUACAGCCCCUGUAAGACUUUUUACAAUAAUUAAUUAGGUAGUUAGUUAAUUAAUUAAAAGUGCUGCUUAUAUAAUUAAAUUUAAAAAAUGUUGUGAGCCCUCGCACAUGUCACGAUUGAGUUUAUCUGAAAAUCGUACGGAGAGAUUCACACAAGACAUGAAUUUACUAUGAUUUUACAAACUCUGGCGUAAGCAUAACGUUUCACGCCAUUCAUAAAAAUAUGGAUUUUGAGGACAAAAUAAUUUUUCUUUGUAGCAGCUAUGGCUUUUGAUAUCCAAAAAAAAAGAAAUGAAGACAUGGAAAAGAGAAUGGCUGAAAAUAAGAGAAAAGCAUGGACUUUCUGCUUUUCAUAAACAACUCGAGGUGAUAAGGAUAUUUCAGAAUUUCUGCUCGUUUUGCUGGAAAUAUAACAGGUAGCCUGUAUUCAUUCAUAAAGCUGAACAGCAAAUUUGGCACAGUUCGGAAUAACAAAAAAAAUAUGGCUGUAUAAUUAAACUAAAAUUACUAUAUAGACUAUUUAAAAACAUAAUAUGUGGUUUUUGUCUUCAGAUGGAUCUGCAAAUAGUCUCGUUUAACUGCACAUAUGCCACGGAUUUAAACCGACAGUGUCCAAUUUAUUUUGCCAUUUUUUUUAAAUUACCGGCAGUUCCUCGUAACAUUCUCAGAUUAACCCCUAAUUAUUCUCACAUUGUACGAGCUGCGAGCAUCUGCAAUUUUCUCCCCCACCCCAAAAAAUAAUCGCCUGUGAGCUUGUAAGACCGCAAAAAUCACACCGUGUAAGCCUGCCUUUAAAUGAGCACGGCCAAUCAUAAAUGCAGGAUUCUAUAUUGUAUUUUAGAAGAACAACCCGUUUCAUGUCUGUAAGUCAACGAUGAUUCAGACUUGUUGCAGAAUGUAGCUUUAAUUUGAUAUACACCAAAAUAAUUAG
ensembl:lncRNA